UACGUAGGGGGCAAGCGUUGUCCGGAUUUACUGGGCGUAAAGGGCGUGCAGGCGGUUUGUUAAGUCUAGGGUGAAAGCUCCCGGCUCAACUGGGAGAGGUCCUUGGAUACUGGCGAACUUGAGGGAUGCAGAGGAAAGUGGAAUUCCCGGUGUAGUGGUGAUAUGCGUAGAUAUCGGGAGGAACACCAGUGGCGAAGGCGGCUUUCUGGGCAUUUCCUGACGCUGAGACGCGAAAGCGUGGGGAGCGAACCGG
rnacentral:rRNA from 1 species